rnacentral:sRNA from 1 species
UAAAUCUUACGAGUGUCAUCUAACCUAGUUCUUAAUUAAGAAUUUUGAUGAGAUGUAUUUUUGUUUGUCAACAUCACAAAAUGUCUUGAUGAAUUGUCGUUUAAAUCCUAUAUUUACUUAGAAACAAUCAAUACACACAAAUGUUGAUGAUGCCUUUUACAAGAGACAUAGAUUUAUGUUGAUUUUUGUAGCUGUUGAUUUAGUUGCCUCCUAUAAUAACAUCUACUAGCUCUCUGUUGGAACCUCGUUUGGUUUUUCGGUUGAGUUAUGGACGUUAUGGUGGGGCGAUCUCUUGUCCUUCUCUUUGUGUUGCGUAAUUUGUCUUUAGUCUGUAGGUGGCUUUGGCUGGGUUUACGAAUGUCCAUGUGUAAGGAUGGGUGGUCCUAAUUGGCGUUUCUCCUCUCGGAUCUCAAGGACUUUCCUUGAUCCUUCGUCUUUUCAUGUUCAUUGACUCUAAAGUGGUUGUGGUGGUUAGGUUCUAUGCUCUCAUCUUCUUGUUAUAUCGUCUUCGUUUCUGCCGUGGAGAUGGUUUUUGUGAACUCAGUUUAAUUCUCUCUUCUAGACACCUGUCAAUUGCCUCUCCUUAGUGACAAACUGAUCUAUGGAAGUAUUAGUCGGCUGCUUAUAGGAAAGAGUUUUCAGAGUUGUGGUGUUGGAGGUUUUAGUUUUUACCUCUUUAGUUGUUAUUUUAUUUUUCAUCUCUUCUAAUGCUUGUAAUGUUUGUCUGCCUUUGUUUGGUCUUAUGUUUUUGGGGAUUUAUAUGUACCGGUCGGCUUUGUCUCCUAAACGAUUUUCUUUUUUGUCGGCUUUGUAUAAUUCAAACGCAUUCUAUCAAUGAAAUCCUUUAAACAAAAAAAAAUCCUAGAAAAAAAUAGCCAAAUACAAUUUUUACAAAAUAUCUUAUUAUCAAAGUUAAUAACUUAUACGAUCGUAACACAUGACAAAUCUAUUGAUCUUAUAUUUUGACAUGUAUCGAAAAAGAUUUUAACUUUUUUUUUCCUCUUAGAAGAAAAAGAAAACUUAAAAAAAAAACAAAUUUACAUAUACUAAUUUAUCACUGUAAUGGAAAAUUAAUAGUAAGAUGGAAUGCAUAGAAUUAAAUUGUUUUCUAUUGCAAAAUCAAAUUGUAUUUGAAUUUUGUACAAUCAAAUUAA